rnacentral:rRNA from 1 species
CCUACGGGAGGCAGCAGUGGGGAAUAUUGGGCAAUGGGCGCAAGCCUGACCCAGCAACGCCGCGUGAAGGAAGAAGGCUUUCGGGUUGUAAACUUCUUUUAAGAGGGAAGAAGAACUGACGGUACCCAAGGAGGAAGCCCCGGCUAACUACGUGCCAGCAGCCGCGGUAAUACGUAGGGGGCAAGCGUUAUCCGGAAUUAUUGGGCGUAAAGAGUACGUAGGUGGCAACCUAAGCGCAGGGUUUAAGGCAAUGGCUCAACCAUUGUUCGCCCUUGGAACUGGGAUGCUUGAGUGCAGGAGAGGAAAGCGGAAUGCCUAGUGUAGCGGUGAAAUGCGUAGAUAUUAGGAGGAACACCAGUGGCGAAGGCGGCUUUCUGGACUGUAACUGACACUGAGGUACGAAAGCGUGGGGAGCAAACAGGAUUAGAUACCCUUGUAGUC